UACGUAGGGUGCUAGCGUUGUCCGGAUUUAUUGGGCGUAAAGGGCUCGUAGGCGGCGUGUCGCGUCGGGAGUGAAAGCCCGCUGCUUAACGGCGGGUUGGCUUCCGGUACGGGCAUCGCUGGAGUGCGGCAGGGGAGACUGGAAUUCCUGGUGUAGCAGUGAAAUGCGUAGAUAUCAGGAGGAAUACCGAUGGCGAAGGCAGGUCUCUGGGCUGACACUGACGCUCAUGCACGAAAGCGUGGGGAGCAAAAGGG
rnacentral:rRNA from 1 species